AAUUAACGCUGGCGGCAUGCCUAACACAUGCAAGUCGCACGAGAAAGCCCGGUUCGCCGGGCGAGUAAAGUGGCGCACGGGUGAGUAACGCGUGGAUAAUCUACCUCGUUCUGGGGGAUAACCCAUCGAAAGGUGGGCUAAUACCGCAUAAUCCGGCUUUUUUAUGAAUUGGUCGGCAAAGGUGGCCUCUUGAUCAAAGCUACCGGGAAGAGAUGAGUCCGCGUCCCAUUAGCUAGUUGGUAGGGUAAUGGCCUACCAAGGCGACGAUGGGUAGCUGGUCUGAGAGGACGAUCAGCCACACUGGAACUGGUACACGGUCCAGACUCCUACGGGAGGCUG
rnacentral:rRNA from 1 species